rnacentral:lncRNA from 1 species
AUCUGCCACUCUCAUGAUUUUCUUUCAAAAGCUUGUAAUAACCUUUUCACAUUAGGCAUCCAUGUCAUCCACAUUCCCAAGUAUACAAGUUUGAAUCUUUCUUUUCUGAAUUCCAGGUUCCGUUUCUCUUGUGGUUCAAUGUGGUACAAAUGACUAUGUUUUUUUUUUUUUUUCUUUCUUUUACACUGUGUUUCUAAUAAAAAUGUUCUCUGCUCCAAACCUAUAUUUCCCAUAUCCAGCUAUGUUUAGAAAAUGACAUAGAUAAUGUAUUUGAUAAUUUAUAAAGGAGAGUUGAGAAUAAUUCUUGC